rnacentral:lncRNA from 1 species
AUGGCCGGAGGCGAGGGCGGCGGGGCUGCCGCCGUCCCUGAGGAGGGGCGGUCAUUGGCGCUGACGCCGACGUGGUCGGUGGCCAUCGUGCUCACUCUCCUCGUCGCCGGCUCGCUGCUCAUCGAGCGCUCCAUUCAUCGCCUCAGCUAUUGGUUGAAGAAAACCCACCGAAAUCCACUCCACAAAGCAAUGGAGAAGAUGAAAGAAGAAAUGAUGUUGCUUGGUUUCAUAUCUCUGCUUCUGGCAGCUACAUCAAGAAUCAUCUCAGGUAUAUGCAUUGAUUCAAAGUACUACAACAGCAAUUUCUCCCCAUGCACCAGAGAAGAGGUUGAAGAAUCUAUAAAGAUUAAGCAUGCCGUAUCUAGUGCACGCAAGCACCUAAUUGAAGUCAUUCUGCACCAUGCGGCCAGGAGGAACCUUAAAGCUCGUUACCAUCAUAAUCAAAGUUGCGCUGAGGGAUAUGAGUCAUUUGUUUCACAUGAAGGUCUGGAGCAGCUGCACCGCUUUAUAUUUGUCAUGGCAGUAACCCAUGUGACAUACAGUUGCUUGACGAUGCUGCUUGCUAUACUCAAGGUUUUUUCUAGUUAGAUUGCCUAUAUAUCAGCUACUAGAAGGCAACCAGCACUUGGCAGAUCUUAUUCAUUCCGCUCUUGGAGUGAAAAUAAUGCGAUCAAGUGUGUGGUAUGUUGAGGGAAAUAAU